rnacentral:rRNA from 1 species
UACGUAGGCGGAAAAUUAAGUCAGUAGUGAAAUCCUGCAGCUUAACUGUAGAACUGUUAUUGAUACUGGUUUUCUUGAAUAUAGUUGAGGUAGGCGGAAUGUGUAAUGUAGCGGUGAAAUGCUUAGAUAUUACACAGAACACCGAUUGCGAAGGCAGCUUACUAAGCUAUGAUUGACGCUGAGGUACGAAAGCGUGGAGAGCGAACAGGAUUAGAUACCUGGUAGUCC